AGAAUCUAGGGAGUGCUUUGCCUCUGCCGCUGCUCUUUCUGUUUUGUAUCUCGACUUUCCUUGGGUUCUGUGAUUUGAUUUGCAACGAUGAUAGAGCUGUUCGUCUUGGGGUGUACCGGAGUUGUGGUGUUCCUUCACGGUGCCAAUUUCUUCUUCCAUGUUCUUUCCCAUCACCUUGCUGUUCGUUCUCUCAGUUUCUUGGGAUUUGUUGGGUGGUAGAACAAAGGGGGAAACCAGAGUUUGGAAGAGGAUUCAUUUCUCUCCAUGCAAGUUUUCAAUGUGGAUCGUGCUUUGUAAAUAUUUGAUUAUAACUUGGAUUUUGUAGCAUAUGAAUGUGGUGAUAAUUACGUAUCGUUGAAACGAAAUGAUGGCAUCCAACCUA